rnacentral:rRNA from 1 species
GGAUGAGCCCUUCGGGUNGUAAACUUCUUUAUCGGGGGAGCAAGCGAGAGUGAGUUUACCCGUGAAAUAAGCACCGGCUAACUACGUGCCAGCAGCCGCGGUAAUACGUAGGUGCAGCGNNUNAUCCGGAAUAUUGGGCGUNAAAGGGCUCGUAGGCGGUUCGUCGCGUNCCGUGUGAAAGUCCAUCGCUNANCGUGGGAUCCGCGCCGGGUACGGGCGGGCUGNAGUGCGGUAGGGGAGACUGGAAUUCCCGGUGUAACGGUGGAAUGUGUAGAUAUCGGGAAGAACACCAAUGGCGAAGGCAGGUCUCUGGGCCGUUACUGACGCUGAGGAGCGAAAGCGUGGGGAGCGAACAGGAUUAGAUACCCUGGUAGUCCACGCCGUAAACGGUGGAUGCUGGAUGUGGGGCCCGUUCCACGGGUUCCGUGUCGGAGCUAACGCGUUAAGCAUCCCGCCUGGGGAGUACGGCCGCAAGGCUAAAACUCAAAGAAAUUGACGGGGGCCCGCACAAGCGGCGGAGCAUGCGGAUUAAUUCGAUGCAACGCGAAGAACCUUACCUGGGCUUGACAUGUUCCCGACGGUCGUAGAGAUACGGCUUCCCUUCGGGGCGGGUUCACAGGUGGUGCAUGGUCGUCGUCAGCUCGUGUCGUGAGAUGUUGGGUUAAGUCCCGCAACGAGCGCAACCCUCGCCCCGUGUUGCCAGCGGAUUAUGCCGGGAACUCACGGGGGACCGCCGGGGUUAACUCGGAGGAAGGUGGGGAUGACGUCAGAUCAUCAUGCCCCUUACGUCCAGGGCUUCACGCAUGCUACAAUGGCCGGUACAACGGGAUGCGACGCGGCGACGCGGAGCGGAUCCCUGAAAACCGGUCUCAGUUCGGAUCGCAGUCUGCAACUCGACUGCGUGAAGGCGGAGUCGCUAGUAAUCGCGAAUCAGCAACGUCGCGGUGAAUGCGUUCCCGGGCCUUGUACACACCGCCCGUCAAGUCAUGAAAGUGGGCAGCACCCGAAGCCGGUGGCCUAACCCCUUGUGGGAUGGAGCCGU